UAGGGAAUCUUCGGCAAUGGGGGGAACCCUGACCGAGCAACGCCGCGUGAGUGAAGAAGGUUUUCGGAUCGUAAAGCUCUUUUGUUAAGGAAGAACGAGUGUGAGAAUGGAAAGUUCAUGCUUUGACGUUACUUAACCAGAAAGGGACGGCUAACUACGUGCCAGCAGCCGCUGUAAUACGUAGGUCCCGAGCGUUGUCCGGAUUUAUUGGGCGUAAAGCGAGCGCAGGCGGUUAGAAAAGUCUGAAGUGAAAGGCAGUGGCUCAACCAUUGUAGGCUUUGGAAACUGAUUAACUUGAGUGCAGAAGGGGAGAGUGGAAUUCCAUGUGUAGCGGUGAAAUGCGUAGAUAUAAGGAGGAACACCGGUGGAGAAAGCGGCUCUCUGGUCUGUAACUGACGCUGAGGCUCGAAAGCGUGGGGAGCGAACAGG
rnacentral:rRNA from 1 species